UAUAAAUUUUAGCAAAACAGUCGAAAGAUUGUGACGCAAAGCUAUAGGGCCUGUAAUAUGGUAGCCAGUUGCAAAU
rfam:Lachnospiraceae bacterium 3_1_57FAA_CT1 genomic scaffold acsNT-supercont1.1, whole genome shotgun sequence.